CCUACGGGAGGCAGCAGUGAGGAAUAUUGGUCAAUGGACGAGAGUCUGAACCAGCCAAGCCGCGUGAAGGAUGACUGCACUAUGGGUUGUAAACUUCUUUUAUAUGGGAAUAAAAUGUUCCACGUGUGGGCUUUUGUAUGUACCUUAAGAAUAAGGAUCGGCUAACUCCGUGCCAGCAGCCGCGGUAGUACGGAGGAUCCGAGCGUUAUCCGGAUUUAUUGGGUUUAAAGGGAGCGCAGGUGGGUUGUUAAGUCAGGUGUGAAAGUUUGGGGCUCAACCGUAAGAUUGCAGUUGAAACUGGCAGUCUUGAGUACAGUAGAGGUAUGCGGAAUGCGUGGUGUAGCGGUGAAAUGCUUAGAUAUCACGAAGAACUCCGAUUGCGAAGGCAGCUCACUGGACUGCAACUGACGCUGAGGCUCGAAAGUGUGGGUAUCAAACAGGAUUAGAUACCCUGGUAGUC
rnacentral:rRNA from 1 species